rnacentral:rRNA from 1 species
CAGUAGCCGCGGUAAUACGUAGGUGGCAAGCGUUGUCCGGAAUUAUUGGGCGUAAAGCGCGCGCAGGCGGAUAGGUCAGUCUGUCUUAAAAGUUCGGGGCUUAACCCCGUGAUGGGAUGGAAACUGCCAAUCUAGAGUAUCGGAGAGGAAAGUGGAAUUCCUAGUGUAGCGGUGAAAUGCGUAGAUAUUAGGAAGAACACCAGUGGCGAGGGCGACUUUCUGGACGAAAACUGACGCUGAGGCGCGAAAGCCAGGGGAGCGAACGGGAUUAGAUACCCCAGUAGUCCCUGUCUCUUAUACC